CACGAUGUAAAACAGUGCCCUGGUGAGAGACAGCUUCCUGGCAAGGAACAGCCCGAAGGUCACUGCUGGGUUUAUGUGCCCUCCUGAGAUGCCGGCGGUACAGUAGACGAGCGCGAAGAUCAUGCCUCCGAAGGACCAGGCGAUGCCCUGGAUGCCGACGGUGGCGCACUUGGAGGAGGACUUGGAGACCCCCAUGACGGUGAGGAUGGUGAUGUAGAGGAAG
rnacentral:misc_RNA from 1 species